rnacentral:misc_RNA from 1 species
GGGGGAGAUGAAAAGGGGUAAUUGCACUUGAGUGGCUUGCUGGAGAGCUGUCGAGGUUAGGGAAGAUAGGAGGUUCGCUGGAGAUGGACACUCAACGCUCAGUGAUUUCUAGUAGUGGCAAAAGGAUGAGGACACGAGAAGAACAUCGAGCGGCACUGGUUGUCUUGUGGUUACAGACGACAAAUAAGACAGAGGAGAUGGGGGGCGGUGAUUUUCUGUAGUGGAGGUUAGGUGCGGUGGUUUCUCUAAGAAGAGAGAAAUUAG